GACGAACGCUGGCGGCGUGCUUAACACAUGCAAGUCGAACGAUGAAGCCUAGCUUGCUUGGUGGAUUAGUGGCGAACGGGUGAGUAAUACGUGAGUAACCUACCUUUAACUCUGGGAUAAGCCCGGGAAACUGGGUCUAAUACCGGAUACGACCAAUCUCCGCAUGGGGUGUUGGUGGAAAGCGUUAUGUAGUGGUUAUAGAUGGGCUCACGGCCUAUCAGCUUGUUGGUGAGGUAACGGCUCACCAAGGCGACGACGGGUAGCCGGCCUGAGAGGGUGACCGGCCACACUGGGACUGAGACACGGCCCAGACUCCUACGGGAGGCAGCAGUGGGGAAUAUUGCACAAUGGGCGCAAGCCUGAUGCAGCGACGCCGCGUGAGGGAUGACGGCCUUCGGGUUGUAAACCUCUGUUAGCAGGGAAGAAGAGAGAUUGACGGUACCUGCAGAGAAAGCGCCGGCUAACUACGUG
rnacentral:rRNA from 1 species